rnacentral:misc_RNA from 1 species
GAAAUGCGAUAAGUAGUGUGAAUUGCAGAAUUCAGGGAAUCAUCGAAUCUUUGAACGCACAUUGCGCCCUUUGGUAUUCCUUAGGGCAUGCCUGUUCGAGCGUCAUCUAACCCCUCAAGCACCGCUUGUUGUUGGGCGCCUGUCCCGCCUCCGCGCGCGGACUCGCCUCAAAGACAUUGGCGGCCUGUGUAUUGGCUACGAGCGCAGCAGACCCGCGCCUCGUCCCCUCUCGCGCAGGCGCCCAGGAAGCGCAAACCCCCAAUGUUGACCUCGGAUCAGGUAGGGAUACCCGCUGAACUUAA